rnacentral:ncRNA from 12 species
CCUUCGAUAGCUCAGUUGGUAGAGCGGUGGACUGUAGUGUGAUAAAAUACGUAGAUAUCCAUAGGUCGCUGGUUCAAAUCCGGCUCGAAGGA